rnacentral:rRNA from 1 species
UGGGGAAUAUUGCACAAUGGGCGCAAGCCUGAUGCAGCCAUGCCGCGGGUAUGAAGAAGGCCUUCGGGUUGUAAAGUACUUUCAGUGGGGAGGAAGGCGAUAAGGUUAAUAACCUUGUCGAUUGACGUUACCCGCAGAAGAAGCACCGGCUAACUCCGUGCCAGCAGCCGCGGUAAUACGGAGGGUGCAAGCGUUAAUCGGAAUUACUGGGCGUAAAGCGCACGCAGGCGGUCUGUCAAGUCGGAUGUGAAAUCCCCGGGCUUAACCUGGGAACUGCAUUCGAAACUGGCAGGCUAGAGUCUUGUAGAGGGGGGUAGAAUUCCAGGUGUAGCAGUGAAAUGAGUAGAGAUCUGGAGGAAUACCGGUGGCGAAGGCGGCCCCCUGGACAAAGACUGCCGCUCAGGUGCGAAAGCGUGGGGAGCAAACAGG